AAUUUAGUUAUCAUUCAUUUAGUGUUAGGAACAUAAAUUGUGACUAAGGUUUGGUGGAAGAUUUUAAUUCAGAACUUAUGAAAACAAGACAUUUGUACUACAGAGCUAGAGGUGGUUUCAGCCUGGUUGGUACUGAAAGAGUUAAAACAAAAA